rnacentral:rRNA from 1 species
UGGGGAAUAUUGGACAAUGGGCGCAAGCCUGAUCCAGCAAUGUCGCGUGUGUGAAGAAGGCCUGCGGGUUGUAAAGCACUUUCAGUGGGGAGGAAGGCUUCAGUGCUAAUAACGCUGAAGAUUGACGUUACCCACAGAAGAAGCACCGGCUAACUCUGUGCCAGCAGCCGCGGUAAUACAGAGGGUGCAAGCGUUAAUCGGAAUUACUGGGCGUAAAGGGUGCGUAGGUGGUUAAUUAAGUCAGAUGUGAAAUCCCUAGGCUUAACCUAGGAAUUGCGUUUGAGACUGAAUAGCUAGAGUACAGUAGAGGGAAGUGGAAUUUCCGGUGUAGCGGUGAAAUGCGUAGAUAUCGGAAGGAACAUCAGUGGCGAAGGCGACUUCCUGGACUGUUACUGACACUGAGGCACGAAAGCGUGGGGAGCGAACAG